AGUGAACGCUGGCGGUAGGCCUAACACAUGCAAGUCGAACGGCAGCACAGUAAGAGCUUGCUCUUACGGGUGGCGAGUGGCGGACGGGUGAGGAAUACAUCGGAAUCUACUUUUUCGUGGGGGAUAACGUAGGGAAACUUACGCUAAUACCGCAUACGACCUACGGGUGAAAGCAGGGGAUCUUCGGACCUUGCGCGAUUGAAUGAGCCGAUGUCGGAUUAGCUAGUUGGCGGGGUAAAGGCCCACCAAGGCGACGAUCCGUAGCUCGUCUGAGAGGAUGAUCAGCCAGACUGGAACUGAGACACGGUCCAGACUCCUACGGGAGGCAGCAGUGGGGAAUAUUGGACAAUGGGGGAAAGCCUGAUCCAGCGAUACCGCGUGGGUGAAGAAGGCCUUCGGGUUGUAAAGCCAUUUUGUUGGGAAAGAAAAGCAGCAGGUUAAUCCCCCGCUGUUCUGACGGUACCCAAAGAAUAAGCACCGGCUAACUUCGUG
rnacentral:rRNA from 1 species